AUGAUGAACCUCACCUUUUGUAAAUGCGUACACUCUAAGAAUAAUAGGAAAUCAGCAGGGCAGGAAGCUGUCAUCAGUGUAAUAAUGCCAUGGUCUGAAGCAGGUUGUCAAAGCUGGCAGAAAUUUGCCUACUUUGUUCUUAAAGCUCUCCAGAACAUUAGGAACAUUUUCUAUUUUAUUUUCAGUAUGCAAAGGUACAAUCAUUCAUAUACUCUUAAGUCCACCUACCUGCUUGCCUCUUGUGUUCCAGAGCAGAACUUGAAUCAUGUUGUCUGCUUUACAUCCGUGCAUUACUGUUACCACAAGAUCAGAAGAGAUGCAGAAGCCAUCAGAUCAGGCCAAGGGAAAUGUCAAUCUGAGAGAUCCAGUGAGAAGGAAGGAGAAUGGUUAGAAGUCCAGAGAACACUUCAGAAUUGGGGAUACAGUUAUGAACUCUGAGGAGAGACAAGGUUAUUUCUACAUGUUGUCCACUGAGUCCCAGGACUGGAACUGCUUAAAGAAACUCCAGCGUAUGAAAAUGUUAAUUAUCAGGAAUCUUGAUGAAAAUGGCCAAAAAUGAAGAAAUUAGAUAUUUUUUAUUUAUGCUUUCUUCUAAUUCAAGCCGGUGUUAAACUAUUAUGCCAGCAACAGCUUAGCUGGUCUGCCAUGGGAUAGAGGUAAGAAUGAAAUUCUAGUUAUCGUAUCUACAACUGUGAGUGCUGACCUUUUUCCAGAUGAGUAAUUUAUUGUCACCGUGUCAUAAAAUAACUGAAAACGCCAGGGAGAGUAUAUUAAGAAAGCAGACCAAUUGUUAAAUGAACAGAGAUACAAGAGCCGUCUGUAUGAAAUGCUUUGUGUAUGUUUUGUCAGGUGACUUCAUCAGAAAAUGUAACUCAGACAUUACAGAACACAAAAUUAGAGGAAUCUGUAACACAGAAGAGUUUAAAAUUACUAUUUUAUGGUAGUUUAGGCUUUGUCUUUACUAACCGCUUGUUGCAUGUAUUUCUUUUACUGUGACCAAAAAAAAAAAAAAAAAAAAAAGCAUGUUAGAGACUAUUGUCAUUGAUUUCAACAGAAAAUGACAGUCAUGAAAAAACUGCUAAAGACUAUUAUUACAAUACCAGACAAGUUUAGACAUCAAUUUUCUUGUGAUAUAUGUUCAAUGAGAAAAUGCCUUAUAAACUGGAUAAGUUCCCUUUUUCACUCUGCAUCCAGAUUUUAAUACAGAGUUAUUUUUGGCACACUUUCAAACUUAAAAUUUACCAGGAAAACAAAUAAAUACAAUUGAAAGGGGAAAAGAGAUUGUUUC
rnacentral:lncRNA from 1 species